CUUCCGUAAGAGAAUGUUGUGACAGAUUCCCUGGAUGAACCUCCUGUAAGAGAAUGUUGUGACAGAUUCCCUGGAUGAACCUCCCGUAUGAGAAUGUUGUGACAGAUUCCCUGGAUGAACCUCCCGUAUGAGAAUGCUGAAUGCAUACUUCAUACAGUGUAUGGCAGUAGAUAAUUUCCAUAGCAAAUACCAUCCGCAUUUCAUAUGGAGAAUGACAUUUUGUAGCUUUUAUAUGUAAUUCAUCCUAAAUAGCAUCCUAAAUAGCACCCUAAAUAGCACCCUAAAUGGCAUCCUAAAUAGCACCCUAAAUAGCAUCCUGAAUAGCAUUCUAAAUGUCAUCCUAAAUAGCAUCCUAAAUGGCACACAACCUACAUCUAUCAUAGACCUUUGUAUCCAAUCAAUAUCCUCCUGGACAUUAACGUUGGCCUCAAUCCCUCAGUAGGGAAAUCUUUCUGUGGAAGGAUCAAUGAUCGCAGUCUUUCUGAUGAUAUAUUAAUAACCCUUGUGUUUCUAUUGAUCGUCGACUUGACAGACAGCAACAUUCCCUUAUGGGCAUGGAGGAGGGUUGUGAUGCCCUCUAUGAAGCCUGGUCACCAGGGAGGGUUGUGAUGCCCUCUAUGAAGCCUGGUCACCGGGGAGGGUUGUGAUGCCCUCUAUGAAGCCUGGUCACCAGGGAGGGUUGUGAUGCCCUCUAUGAAGCCUGGUCACCGGGGAGGGUUGUGAUGCCCUCUAUGAAGCCUGGUCACCAGGGAGGGUUGUGAUGCCCUCUAUGAAGCCUGGUCACCAGGGAGGGUUGUGAUGCCCUCUAUGAAGCCUGGGCACCAGGGAGGGUUGUGAUGCCCUCUAUAAAGCCUGGUCACC
ensembl:lncRNA